rnacentral:rRNA from 1 species
UACGUAGGUGGCAAGCGUUGUCCGGAUUUAUUGGGCGUAAAGAGCUCGUAGGCGGUUUGUCGCGUCUGCCGUGAAAGUCCGAGGCUCAACCUCGGAUCUGCGGUGGGUACGGGCAGACUAGAGUGAUGUAGGGGAGACUGGAAUUCCUGGUGUAGCGGUGAAAUGCGCAGAUAUCAGGAGGAACACCGAUGGCGAAGGCAGGUCUCUGGGCAUUUACUGACGCUGAGGAGCGAAAGCAUGGGGAGCGAACAGG